UACGGGGGGGGCAAGCGUUGUUCGGAAUUACUGGGCGUAAAGGGCUCGUAGGCGGCCAACUAAGUCGGAUGUGAAAUCCCCAGGCUCAACCUGGGAACUGCAUCCGAUACUGGAUGGCUUGAAUCCGGGAGAGGGAUGCAGAAUUCCAGGUGUAGCGGUGAAAUGCGUAGAUAUCUGGAGGAACACCGGUGGCGAAGGCGGCGUCCUGGACCAACACUGACACUGAGGAGCGAAAGCCAGGGGAGCAAACGGG
rnacentral:rRNA from 1 species